GAUUAACGCUGGCGGCGUGCAUAACACAUGCAAGUCGAACGAUGAAACUCAUUAGAUUUCUUCGGAAUGAAAAUGAAUGGAUUAGUGGCGAACGGGUGAGUAACGCGUGAGUAACCUGCCUUACACAAGGGGAUAGCCUCUGGAAACGGAGAAUAAUACCCUAUGAAACCAGACAAUCGCAUGAUAAUCUGGUCAAAAUGUUUAGUGGUGUAAGAUGGACUUGCGUCUGAUUAGCUAGUUGGUGAGAUAAAAGCUCACCAAGGCAACGAUCAGUAGCCGGCUUGAGAGAGUGUACGGCCACAUUGGGACUGAGACACGGCCCAGACUCCGACGGGAGGCAGCAGUGGGGAAUUUUGCACAAUGGGGGAAACCCUGAUGCAGCGACGCCGCGUGAUUUAGAAGGCCUUCGGGUUGUAAAAAUCUUUUGUAUAGGAAGAAAAUGACAGUACUAUACGAAUAAGGUCCGGCUAAUUACGUG
rnacentral:rRNA from 1 species